UAUUUAUUAUCAUAUUGAUAAAAACAUGAAACAAAAUAUGAAAGGAAUUUGCACAAUGACAUUUUCGAAAAUCAAGUGUAUUUUCAAUUUGAAAUUUUUACAAUUUAUAUUGAUAAAAACAUAAAACAAAAUAUAUAAGAAUUUUGCACUAUUUUUUCAAACCAGUGUGUAUUUUCAAUUUGAAAUUUUUACAAUUUUUAAACUUUAAAUAUAAUGUUAGUGGAUUGAUUGUUUAUUGUUUAUGUCAUAGAGUAGUAAGGAAGGGGGAUAACUCACUUUGUCUCUUUGUUUAUAUCUGAACAGAUAACCUUUGACAUAACUUGUUGCUUGUCAUAUCCAUGGCGAUUUGACUACCCAUUAUGGGGACCGACACAAAAUAAAAUUAUAAAACCAACUUCAUUAGAGUUGUUGUAUAUUGUAGCACAGUAAAACAAGGAAGACAAUUCAUAAGAAAGUGAUAAGAUAUACAUUGAUAUGAUGGUAACUACAGUUGUAGAUCUUUGAAUUAUUUUAGUGUUUCAAGACUUUGGAUAAAUUAGCUUUGAAGAAAGAAAAUAAACUGUUUACCACAGUUCAAAAUUCAAAUCUACACAACCAACAAAACGGAGAUCAAUUUUUUGUUUGCAUACUAUAUAGUAAGCUGUAAAUAACGCAAGCAUUGGAAAAUGUGAAUCAAUUCAAAAAGAAAACCAAAACCAAGAUUUAUGCUAAAAUAAAAUAAACUAAAAAAGCAAC
rnacentral:lncRNA from 1 species